UCAAACUUGGUCAUUUAGAGGAAGUAAAAGUCGUAACAAGGUCUCCGUAGGUGAACCUGCGGAGGGAUCAUUACCGAGCGAGGGAGCUCUCGGGCCCCGAACCUCGCCAACCCCGUGUGCAAACUACCUGUUGCUUUGGCGCGGCCGCGGGUUGUCCUCGCGCAGCCCCGCGGGAGUGAGUCGCCCCGGCAGUAUCCGCCCAGGCGGUCUUCGCCCCGCGAGCGCCCGUCAGAGUCCCAUUUUCGAUCGUGAUGUUAAGUCGUCUGAGCAAAAUAGAAUUGUGGAAAACUUUCAACGAUGGAUCUCUUGGCUCCGGCAUCGAUGAAGAACGCAGC
rnacentral:misc_RNA from 1 species